rnacentral:rRNA from 1 species
AAUGGGCGAAAGCCUGACGCAGCGACGCCGCGUGAGGGAUGAAGGUCUUCGGAUCGUAAACCUCUGUCAGAAGGGAAGAAACUAGGGUGCUCUAAUCAUCAUCCUACUGACGGUACCUUCAAAGGAAGCACCGGCUAACUCCGUGCCAGCAGCCGCGGUAAUACGGAGGGUGCAAGCGUUAAUCGGAAUCACUGGGCGUAAAGCGCACGUAGGCUGUUAUGUAAGUCAGGGGUGAAAUCCCACGGCUCAACCGUGGAACUGCCCUUGAUACUGCACGACUUGAAUCCGGGAGAGGGUGGCGGAAUUCCAGGUGUAGGAGUGAAAUCCGUAGAUAUCUGGAGGAACAUCAGUGGCGAAGGCGGCCACCUGGACCGGUAUUGACGCUGAGGUGCGAAAGCGUGGGGAGCAAA